ACUUCACGCUGAUGAAUGGCUCUUGCCGGCUUUCGGCUCUGAUGAGGGGUCUGCCCGCCGCCGAUUGAAAACACUAAUGAACUUACUGCGCCAUUUGAAAUUCACACGCACCAACAAAAUGGGGAUUAGCGGCCGGACACUGUCCCUGCCUCGAUUUUGUUUGCUGUGGGAGGGAAAAAAAAAGUUUGCUGCUCCUCCCAAGACACUGGCCACUUUCUACUCAC
rnacentral:lncRNA from 1 species